rnacentral:rRNA from 1 species
UACGUAGGGUCCGAGCGUUGUCCGGAAUUACUGGGCGUAAAGAGCUCGUAGGUGGUUUGUCGCGUUGUUCGUGAAAACUCACAGCUCAACUGUGGGCGUGCGGGCGAUACGGGCAGACUGGAGUACUGCAGGGGAGACUGGAAUUCCUGGUGUAGCGGUGGAAUGCGCAGAUAUUGGGAGGAACACCAGUGGCGAAGGCGGCUCGCUGGACCGGAACUGACGCUGAGGCGCGAAAGCGUGGGGAGCAAACAGG